GGACAGCACAGACACUGAAGACAGGCAGCCUUAACACAGCAUAACACCGCUGAGUGAUGGUGUGAGGAAGAAGACAUGCACAAAAAGAAAAUCUGAAUCAAGUCCGUCCAUCACAUGCAGAAAAGGCUUAUGAUAGGGGCAAAGCUGCUGCCUACUAAGAAGAGAUUUUCACUUCCUCGUCGGCAAAAAUGUCUGAAAUUCUCUCCAGCUUUGAUGCUACUGUUCAGUGAGCUCAAACCACAACUAGAAAUUUCAGUAACUCCAUGCUGUAACAUGGAAGAGAAAGAAGACACAAGCUGUCAAAAAUGGACAUGGAGUAUCUUCUCUGCCUUUCUCACUGAGCACUUUAUGAGUUUGUAUAGCUCUAUAAAGCGUGGCUCAAGAAGCUGACUCAUGGCCACCAUUAUCAAAAAAUAUCAACGAGUAAGACAUUGCACUAGAAAGGAGAUGGACCACAUGGAUCAUCACCAGCUGGACUGAUCGGAUAAAUCUGAGUUCCCCGAGGCGAGUGGUACUGCACAUCCCCUGCACAUUCUGUGUGUCAGCAGAGAAACGGAUCAAAGAAAAUAAGAAAUAAGGGGAUCUGCAGCUCUAAUGCAAUUUGCUAUUGCCAGGCAACAAAAAGACCAAGUAGAUAAAUGCUUAAAGACUAGGAGAAGCAAAAAACUUAUUUAGAGUUGGUUCUUAAGCAUAUGCAAUAUACAGUAAGGAAUCAAUAAAGCUGUGUUCUGGGCAUAGUAGAUAGAGGAU
rnacentral:lncRNA from 1 species